rnacentral:siRNA from 1 species
ACUUACGACGGCGAAGAUGGGUUU